AGAGUUUGAUCCUGGCUCAGAACGAACGCUGGCGGCGUGCUUAAUACAUGCAAGUCGAACGUGAAGCCUUGGUUUGUUAGGGUGGAAAGUGGCGAACGGGUGAGUAACACGUAAGUAAUCUACCUCUAAAUUUGGGAUAACCUUGUUAGUGUGGGGUUAAUACCGGAUGUGAUCAUGAAAAUGCGUGUUUUUGUGAUUAGGGAUGCAAAUCGUUUAGAGAUGAGCUUGCGGCCCAUUAGCUUGUUGGUAGGGUGGCGGCCUACCAAGGCUACGAUGGGUAGCCGGCCUGAGAGGGUGAACGGCCACAUUGGGACUGAGGUACGGCCCAGACUCCUAUGGGAGGCAGCAGUAGGGAAUUUUGCGCGGUGGGCGAAAGCCUGACGCAGCAACGCCGCGUGAAGGAUGAAGGUUCUUGGAUUGUAAACUUCUGUUAGGUGGGAAGAAAAGUUAGUAGUGGUAUGAUGGUACCACCUGAGUAAGCACCGGCUAACUACGUGCCAGUGGUUGUGGUGGUACGUAGGGUGCAAGCGUUGUUCGGAAUUACUGGGCGUAAAGGGAGUGUAGGCGGGAUUAUAAGUUAGGAGUUUAAUACACGGGUUUGGUCCGUGGUUUGCUCUUAAUACUGUAGUUCUUGAGUAUGGGAGAGGGUGAUGGAAUUUUAGGUGUAGUGGUGGAGUGUGUAGGUGUUUGGGGGAGUACCAGUAGUGAAGGCGGUCGCCUGGCCCAAUACUGACGCUGAGGCUCGAAAGCUAGGGGAGCGGGUAGGAUUAGAUGUCCUGGUAGUCCUAGCCGUAAACGAUGGACACUAGUUGCUGGAGGAGUUAGUCUUUUCGGUGACGAAGCUAGUGUAUUAAGUGUCCCGCCUGGGAAGUACGCUCGUAAGAGUGAAACUCAAAGGAAUUGACGGGGGCCCGUACAAGCGGUGGAGCAUGUGCUUUAAUUCGAUGCAACGCGAAGAACCUUACCUGGAUUUGACAUGGGAGUGAAAGCAUUCAGAGAUGGAUGACCUUCCGCAAGGAACACUCUACACAGGUGCUGCAUGGUUGUCGUCAGCUCGUGUCGUGAGAUGUUGGGUUAAGUCCCGCAACGAGCGCAACCCUCGCCCUUAGUUGCCAUCGGGUUAUGCUGGGAACUCUAAGGGGACCGCCUAGUUUAACUAGGAGGAAGGUGGGGAUGACGUCAAAUCAUCAUGGCCCUUACGUCCAGGGCUAGACACGUGCUACAAUGGUCGGUACAGCGGGAUGCAAGACGGUGACGUCAAGCUAAUCCCUUAAAACCGAUCUCAGUCCGGAUC
rnacentral:rRNA from 1 species